ACGUAGGUCAAGGAGAGUAUCCUAAGGUGAGCGAGAUAACUGUUGUUAAGGAACUCUGCAAAAUUACUUCGUAAGUUAGCGAGAAGAAGUGCUCCGUAAAAGGAGCCGCAGUGAAGAGGCCCAAGUAACUGUUUACCAAAAACACAGCUCUAUGCUAAGUCGUAAGACGAUGUAUAUGGGGUGAAGCCUGCCCGGUGCCGGAAGGUUAAUAGGAGAGGUGAAAGCUUUGAAUUGAAGCCCCGGUGAACGGCGGCCGUAACUAUAACGGUCCUAAGGUAGCGAAAUUCCUUGUCAGGUAAGUUCUGACGUGCACGAAUGGUUUAAUAAUUUGGGCGCUGUCUCGACAGCAGACUCGGUGAAAUCUUAAUACCGGUGAAGAUGCCGGUUACCCGCGACUAGACGGAAAGACCCCAUGGAGCUUUACUACAACUUAAUAUUGAGUAAUUGCAAAUCAUGUAGAGGAUAGGUGGGAGGCUAUGAAGUAAUGGCGCUAGCUAUUAUGGAGCCGCCCUUGGAAUACCACCCUUGAUUUACAGUUAUUCUAACUUCCUCCCUGGAUGGGAGGGAAGACAGUGUUAGGCGGGUAGUUUGGCUGGGGCGGCCGCCUCCCAAAUAGUAACGGAGGCGCCCUAAGGUACCCUCAGUAUGGUCGGAAAUCAUACGUAGAGCGCAAAUGCAUAAGGGUGCUUGACUGCGAGACACACAGGUCGAGCAGGUACGAAAGUAGGGAUUAGUGACCAGGCGGUUUCAUUGUGGAAUGGCCGUCGCUUAACGGAUAAAAGCUACCCUGGGGAUAACAGGCUGAUCGCGUCCAAGAGUUCACUUCGACGACGCGGUUUGGCACCUCGAUGUCGGCUCAUCACAUCCUGGAGGGGCAGUACCUUCCAAGGGUUAGGCUGUUCGCCUAUUAAAGUGGUACGCGAGCUGGGUUCAAAACGUCGUGAGACAGUUUGGUCCCUAUCUGUCGUGGGCGUAGGAAGUUUGAAAGGAUCUGACCCUAGUACGCAAGGACCAGGUUGGACGUAACUACGGUACACCGGUUGUUUCGCCAGAAGCAUAGCCGGGUAGCCGCUUACGGAUCGAAUAAACGCUGAAAGCAUCUAAGCGUGAAAUCGUCCUUAAGAUGAGACUUCCGAUUCUAACGAAUUAAGAUCCCUUCUAUGUUAGGAGGUUGAUAGGUCACAGAUGUACGCAUAGUGAUAUGUUUAGUCGAGUGAUACUAAUAGAUCGAUCACUUAUUUCA
rnacentral:rRNA from 1 species